rnacentral:rRNA from 1 species
AUGAACGCUGGCGGCGUGCCUAAUACAUGCAAGUCGAGCGAACGGACGAGAAGCUUGCUUCUCUGAUGUUAGCGGCGGACGGGUGAGUAACACGUGGAUAACCUACCUAUAAGACUGGGAUAACUUCGGGAAACCGGAGCUAAUACAGGAUGAUAUUUUGAACCGCAUGGUUCAAAAGUGAAAGACGGUCUUGCUGUCACUUAUAGAUGGAUCUGCGCUGCAUUAGCUAGUUGGUAAGGUAACGGCUUACCAAGGCAACGAUGCAUAGCCGACCUGAGAGGGUGAUCGGCCACACUGGAACUGAGACACGGUCCAGACUCCUACGGGAGGCAGCAGUAGGGAAUCUUGCGCAAUGGGCGAAAGCCUGACGGAGCAACGCCGCGUGAGUGAUGAAGGUCUUCGGGUCGUAAAACUCUGUUAUUAGGGAAGAACAGAUGUGUGAGUAACUGUGCACAUCUUGACGGUACCUAAUCAGAAAGCCACGGCUAACUACGUG